CAGUCGCCGCGGUAAUACAGAGGGUGCGAGCGUUAAUCGGAUUUACUGGGCGUAAAGCGUGCGUAGGCGGCUAAUUGAGUCGGAUGUGAAAUCCCCGAGCUUAACUUGGGAAUUGCAUUCGAUACUGGUUAGCUAGAGUGUGGGAGAGGAUGGUAGAAUUCCAGGUGUAGCGGUGAAAUGCGUAGAGAUCUGGAGGAAUACCGAUGGCGAAGGCAGCCAUCUGGCCUAACACUGACGCUGAGGUACGUAAGCAUGGGGAGCAAACAGGAUUAGAUACCCCAGUAGUCCCUGUCUCUUAUAC
rnacentral:rRNA from 1 species